rnacentral:rRNA from 1 species
UUCCAUAUUUUCAUCUGGAAGGAGGAGACAAUUACGUGCUAGGGAUACACUCAGCUCUCACCAGCUAAGCAGAUUUGUGCCAGGUCAGUGCAAGGAGGGGAAACCUCCCAGGAAAACCCAGGAUACUAUAGGAA